UUAACUCAAAUUUGUAUGGAAUGGGAUCGUUUUCGUACGUUUGCCGCUAGGGGCGCUGUUCCAAUUGCAUACAAAAUUGGGUUA
rfam:Bombyx mori DNA, contig: Bm_scaf25_contig16756, strain: p50T/Dazao, build 2, whole genome shotgun sequence.